rnacentral:rRNA from 1 species
GAUCCUGGCUUAGGAUGAACGCUAGCGGCAGGCUUAACACAUGCAAGUCGAGGGGCAGCGGGAUGUAGCAAUACAUUGCCGGCGACCGGCGGAUGGGUGCGUAACGCGUAUGCAACCUACCUUAUACAGGGGAAUAACCUUUCGAAAGGGAGACUAACACCCCAUAGUAUUGAUUUAAGGCAUCUUAGAUUAAUUAAAUAUUUAUAGGUAUAAGAUGGGCAUGCGUAUGAUUAGCUAGUUGGUAAGGUAACGGCUUACCAAGGCGACGAUCAUUAGGGGUUCUGAGAGGAAGGUCCCCCACACUGGUACUGAGACACGGACCAGACUCCUACGGGAGGCAGCAGUGAGGAAUAUUGGUCAAUGGGCGCAAGCCUGAACCAGCCAUGCCGCGUGCAGGAAAGACGGCCUUAUGGGUUGUAAACUGCUUUUACAUAAGACUAACCGUAUAUUUGCGAAUAUACCUGAAUGUAUUAUGAGAAUAAGGAUCGGCUAACUCCGUGCCAGCAGCUGC